rnacentral:rRNA from 1 species
AUUGAACGCUGGCGGCAGGCCUAACACAUGCAAGUCGAGCGGAGCGGCGGACGGGUGAGUAAUACCUAGGAAUCGGCCUGGUAGUGGGGGAUAACGUUCGGAAACGGACGCUAAUACCGCAUACUAUCAGAUGAGCCUAGGUCGGAUUAGCUAGUUGGUGAGGUAAUGGCUCACCAUGGCUACGAUCCGUAACUGGUCUGAGAGGAUGAUCAGUCACACUGGAACUGAGACACGGUCCAGACUCCUACGGGCGGCAGCAGUGGGGAAUAUGGGACAAUGGGCGAAAGCCUGAUCCAGCCAUGCCGCGUGUGUGAAGAAGGUCUUCGGAUUGGAAAGCACUUUAAGUUGGGAGGCGUUACCGACAGAAUACGCACCGGCUAACUCUGUGCCAGCAGCCGCGGUAAUAC